CUGAGGCUGAGGGUUUGGUCAGGUGAGUUGCUCUGUGAUAACUGGCACCUAUCCCCCCCAACUCCCCUUUUGGUCCCGCCCAGAUGCCAUGGUUCAAGGGCUGGAAGGUAGAGCGUAAGGAAGGAAAUGCAAGCGGCGUGUCCCUGCUGGAAGCCCUGGACACAAUCCUGCCCCCCACCCGCCCCACCGACAAGCCCCUUCGUCUACCGCUGCAGGAUGUAUACAAGAUUGGUGGUGAGUGAGAAUUCAGUGCCGGAGCUCACUGCUUCCUGCAGGUGCUUGAGCGCUGUGCCCCAAACCUUGACCAGGACAUCAACAAGGAAUCCCCAAGAUGGCUGCCUCUGCCUUUCUCCUUACACCAUAUACUCCUACACCCCAUCCGUUUACUCACCCAUCCUGAUUCUUGUGUUAUCUAUCCACCCCAUCUAUCUGUCUACUCAGACACCCCUCACACUCACCUCCACAGUGACCCCUCCACCCAUCUCCAGUGACCCCU
rnacentral:lncRNA from 1 species